rnacentral:rRNA from 1 species
GAUGAACGCUGGCGGCGUGCCUAAUACAUGCAAGUCGAACGCACAGUUUAUACCGUUGCUUGCUACACCAUAGACUGUGAGUUGCGAACGAGUGAGUAACGCGUAGGUAACCUGCCUGGUAGCGGGGGAUGACUAUGGGAAACGUUCGCUAAUACCGCAUAAUAUUAAUUAUUCCAUGAUAAAUAAUUGAUUUGUUCACUUGCACCACUACCAGAUGGACCUGCGUUGUAUUAGCUAGUAGGUGAGGGAACGGCUCACCUAGGCGACGAUACAUAGCCGACCUGAGAGGGUGGUCCGGCACACGGGGACUGGGACAAGGGCCAGGAUCCUACGGGAAGCAGCAGUAGGGAAGCCUCCGGAAUGGAGGAAAGUCUGACCGAGGAACGCCGAGGGAGUGAAGAAGGUUUUCGGAUCGUAAAGCUCUGGUGUAAGAGAAGAAAGGGUGGGAGAGUUGAAAGUGCACACCGUGACGGUAUCUUAUCAGAAAGCGACGGCUAACUACGUG